UACGUAGGGACCGAGCGUUGUCCGGAAUCAUUGGGCGUAAAGAGCGUGUAGGCGGCUUGCUAAGUCUUGCGUGAAAUCUCGGGGCUCAACCCCGAGCGGUCGUGGGAAACUGGCAGGCUAGAGUGCGGGAGAGGAGAAUGGAAUUCCUGGUGUAAGCGGUGAAAUGCGCAGAUAGUCAGGAAGAACACCCGUGGCGAAGGCGGUUCUCUGGAACGCAACUGACGCUGAGACGCGAAAGCGUGGGGAGCAAACAGG
rnacentral:rRNA from 1 species